rnacentral:lncRNA from 1 species
UUUCAUUUCUCUUGGAGAUGCACUUAGCCGUGAAGUUACUUCAUUUUUUGGGCCUCAGUGUUUGCCUAUAAGACAGGAUCAGGCUCUCACAUGGUUAUUUGUAUGAACUGAUGAGAUGUUUGCCUGGUACAAGGUGGGUGUUAAAGAAAUGGAAGCUAAUGAUAAAAUGAUUUUGUUUCUCUGUGCCUGAAUCUCGUCCUCAGGAGCUUAUAAUUUAGUAGACACAUAAGCCACAAACAGAAGCCAGCUCUGUGUCAGGCCCCAUGAGAAGUCCGCAGGUGCGAUCUUCAAUUUGGAGACUACAGGAAGGAUGGCUGGGGAGGCCUCAGGAAACUUACAGUCACAGCGGAAGGCAAAGAGGAAGCAGGCAGCGGCUUCGUGGCAGGAGCAGGAGGAAGGCGGUGGGGAGGUGCUACAUACUUUUAAACAACUGGAUCUUGUGAGAACUCACUAUCACGAGAACAGCAAGGGGGAAUUCUGCGCCCUGAUCCAGUCACCUCCCACCAGGCUCCUCCUCCAACAGUGGGGAUUACAAUUCGACAUGAGAUUUGAGUGGGGACACAGAUCCAAACCAUAUCAGUGUCAUUAAAAAAAUAGUUGCCCUGCUAACUUUUUUAAUCCCCUGUAACUCUAAAUAAAAUAAUGAUGUGAACAUAACACAUUUAGAGUCCCUGGUUCAUUUCCUGGCUGUAUUAGUCUGUUUUCACACUGGUAUAAAGAUACUACCUGAGACUGGGUAAUUCAGGAAGGAAAGAAGUUUAAUUGAUUCACAGUUC